GAUGAACGCUGGCGGCGUGCCUAAUACAUGCAAGUCGAACGCUUUGUGGUUCAACUGAUUUGAAGAGCUUGCUCAGAUAUGACGAUGGACAUUGCAAAGAGUGGCGAACGGGUGAGUAACACGUGGGAAACCUACCUCUUAGCAGGGGAUAACAUUUGGAAACAGAUGCUAAUACCGUAUAACAAUGACAACCGCAUGGUUGUUAUUUAAAAGAUGGUUCUGCUAUCACUAAGAGAUGGUCCCGCGGUGCAUUAGCUAGUUGGUAAGGUAAUGGCUUACCAAGGCGAUGAUGCAUAGCCGAGUUGAGGGACUGAUCGGCCACAAUGGGACUGAGACACGGCCCAUACUCCUACGGGAGGCAGCAGUAGGGAAUCUUCCACAAUGGGCGAAAGCCUGAUGGAGCAACGCCGCGUGUGUGAUGAAGGGUUUCGGCUCGUAAAACACUGUUGUAAGAGAAGAAUGACAUUGAGAGUAACUGUUCAAUGUGUGACGGUAUCUUACCAGAAAGGAACGGCUAAAUACGUGCCAGCAGCCGCGGUAAUACGUAUGUUCCAAGCGUUAUCCGGAUUUAUUGGGCGUAAAGCGAGCGCAGACGGUUAUUUAAGUCUGAAGUGAAAGCCCUCAGCUCAACUGAGGAAUUGCUUUGGAAACUGGAUGACUUGAGUGCAGUAGAGGAAAGUGGAACUCCAUGUGUAGCGGUGAAAUGCGUAGAUAUAUGGAAGAACACCAGUGGCGAAGGCGGCUUUCUGGACUGUAACUGACGUUGAGGCUCGAAAGUGUGGGUAGCAAACAGGAUUAGAUACCCUGGUAGUCCACACCGUAAACGAUGAGUGCUAGGUGUUUGAGGGUUUCCGCCCUUAAGUGCCGCAGCUAACGCAUUAAGCACUCCGCCUGGGGAGUACGACCGCAAGGUUGAAACUCAAAGGAAUUGACGGGGACCCGCACAAGCGGUGGAGCAUGUGGUUUAAUUCGAAGCAACGCGAAGAACCUUACCAGGUCUUGACAUCCCUUGACAACUCCAGAGAUGGAGCGUUCCCUUCGGGGACAAGGUGACAGGUGGUGCAUGGUUGUCGUCAGCUCGUGUCGUGAGAUGUUGGGUUAAGUCCCGCAACGAGCGCAACCCUUAUUACUAGUUGCCAGCAUUCAGUUGGGCACUCUAGUGAGACUGCCGGUGACAAACCGGAGGAAGGUGGGGAUGACGUCAAAUCAUCAUGCCCCUUAUGACCUGGGCUACACACGUGCUACAAUGGCGUAUACAACGAGUUGCCAACCCGCGAGGGUGAGCUAAUCUCUUAAAGUACGUCUCAGUUCGGAUUGUAGGCUGCAACUCGCCUACAUGAAGUCGGAAUCGCUAGUAAUCGCGGAUCAGCACGCCGCGGUGAAUACGUUCCCGGGUCUUGUACACACCGCCCGUCACACCAUGAGAGUUUGUAACACCCAAAGCCGGUGGGGUAACCUUCGGGAGCCAGCCGUCUAAGGUGGGACAGAUGAUUAGGGUG
rnacentral:rRNA from 1 species